rnacentral:tRNA from 1 species
GGGCCUAUAGCUCAGUGGUUAGAGCAGGGGUCUCAUAAACCCUUGGUUCCCGGUUCGAAUCCGGGUGGGCCCA